CUUCAGAGACUUCAGGGUGCUUUCUUAGCAAUGGGUUCAAGACUCCCUAAGAAAUGGAGGAGAACAGAGAGGGAAGUGGACAAGGAGCAACAGCAUACUACUCUUGAAAGGAAAACCCAAGAAUAGAAAUCCUGCCCUUCCUCUUCUCACCUGGGAGGUAGAGAUUGACCACGGCAGGAACUCUGAGAAAAGCAAGUGGUGUACAACACAAACUACACAUGUGAACUUCAAGAUAGCCAGUGGGUUCAGGGUUAUGGACUGUCCAGAUCAUGCCUCCCACCAGCAGUGGCUUUCGGUUUUCCUGAGCCUCCAUGAAGGAAACAGCCUGCUUCCUCCCAGAGCUCUAAAUCCAAAGAGAUUCUCCAGGUGCCUGGAUUCCAGAAAGAAGGAAAACACCAUUGUAUUUUUCCCGAGAAGUUUACAGGCUCUGGCUGCCGAACUCCAGGACUUCGAGAGCUACUUAUGGCUAUAAAGGGUACACCUCAACUACAUGUGCCCCUCUUCCUCAUAUCUCCUAUGUCCUUCCUGAAAUUCAGGGUCCCUUCCUGCUGCCACCCAGGAGUCAGAGACAACCUGGCUUCAGGCUUGUGCUGUGGACCUCUCACCAACUAUGUGGCAUAAAAUCUCUCCCUUCACUUGAGACCUAUAAAAAGGGAUCCCCCACUCUGUCUGACAGCAUGCUGCCUGCCUGUCUGUCCAUGGUAUUCAUAGUUCUUCUAAUAAACACAAUGAGACAAUCAGCCUUAGUGUCCCCAUGAACCCAGACCUAGAAUCUUUCACUUUCUUCUCUUGAGGAGGAAGGUGAAGUCAAGAGGCUUAUAAGUAGGGGAGGCACACUCUUACACCGUCUCUGUGGCAAAGGUCCUUCCUGACUUGAAGGAAAUGACCAGUAAUGUGAUCCUAAGAGAUCAAAUACAUGAACUAGAGAUGGUACAUCAGGCAUGUGUAGAUAGAAAAAAUGACUGCUUCUAUUUGUUCACUGGCCUCUUGGUGUCAUAAAAACAUGGCAACUGCACAGAGAAAAAGAUGAAAACAACCACACAAAGAAAUGUGCCUUUCAGAGUGCAACUGUGAUGGGUGACUGCUCAUUAAAGACUUAAUCAAAACAAACCCUGCUAAGCAGGUAGGACACUAAGUGCUACCUGCUGGAUUAACCCUGGGCUGGGCCCUGAGUUCUGAGAGUUCAAAGUUCCUUUGAAGUUAACAUAUUAGGAAAUGACUUUCCAAGUCAGAUCACCAUUAGUUCUAGAUUUUUCCUAAUGGCUAAGUGGCAGAAAAGUUGACUAAUUAUUUAAGUUUUAACUAGGAAAGAAAAGGAAAAUAAUGUUCUUUAUGAUGAACACAAUAGCAAAAAUAUAUCCCAGGGCUGGGGUGAGGGUGGAGCUCAGUUUGGUAGAGUGCUUGCUUAGCAUUCAUUAGGUCCUGGGUUCAAUCCUCAGCACUGCAUAAACCAGCCACGAGGGUGUACACUUGUAAUCCCAGCACUAUAAUUCCUCAUGGGGGAUCACAAGUUCAAAGUCAUCCUAUGAGGUUGGAGACAAAUCUAUGUGAAGCCUUCUCAUAAAAAACGGAUGCUCAUGAUAAUGCCCAAUAACCAAUUAGGAAAGAGUAUGGAAGCAAAUUGCAUUUGCCAAGGGUGAAUUUUUUUCUUCUGAGUAGUUGAUUCCUUUCACAUGUUCAUAGCAGUUCUAUUCCUUAAUGUAGCCCUACAUCUUAAUAAUCU
rnacentral:lncRNA from 1 species